rnacentral:rRNA from 1 species
GUGCCAGCAGCCGCGGUAAUAGGGAGGGUGCGAGCGUUAAUCGGAAUUACUGGGCGUAAAGCGCAUGCAGGUGGUCUGUUAAGUCAGAUGUGAAAGCCCCGGGCUCAACCUGGGAAUUGCAUUUGAAACUGGCAGGCUAGAGUACUGUAGAGGGGGGUAGAAUUUCAGGUGUAGCGGUGAAAUGCGUAGAGAUCUGAAGGAAUACCAGUGGCGAAGGCGGCCCCCUGGACAGAUACUGACACUCAGAUGCGAAAGCGUGGGGAGCAAACAGGAUUAGAAACCCCCGUA